AAGAUAUUUGGGAUGUACGCAGCAUAAAACCUGAUCAUGUCUACCAAAAUUUGAAAAUAUCAGACGAAGAAGAGAAAAAGCAACAAAAAGAAAAGGCUAUAUAUGUUAACUUGGAAUUGAAACCUUCAACGUAUACUUAGAUGUAUAGACUUUUAUUAACUUGAAAUUAAUAACAAUAAAAAAAGUCAGUUGAGGAGAGUCUUAUACACGAAGAACCUGACAAUAUUUAGUGUCUGAACUUGACGAUGUGUUGUAUAUAAAGUAACAUAAUGUCAAACAAAUGAGUUCUUAUGUUACAGUAAAUUGACAAUUUAUUUCAAGAUGAAACACUAUCCUUCAUUUAUUCUUAGUAUUGAAGCAAUAUUGUAAAAUAAAGUUAAAACUUUCAGGUUUGAAUCGAAAUAUAGAGGCAGAUCUAAAUAAGGAGAUGUGGUAUGAUUGCCAAUGAAAAAAUAAAACAA